rnacentral:lncRNA from 1 species
AAUAAAUUUUCAACUAUAAAAAUAUUAAUUGAUGAAUUAAGUUUGCAGUGAAUUAUUAAUUUUUUAUAAAAAUGAAAAUUUUGCUUUUAGCAAGAUCUAGUAUGAGAAGAGUUGAAACAACAAGUGCCAUGACCUCACCAGAACAUACAAGUCGUAGCAGAACAAAAGGUGUAUCUCAGUCACAGCCCAGUAGUCGUUCUGGUUCUCCAUCAUCAAGGUUAAGCUAUGCUACAUACCACUAUCAGUCAGAUGGUUCUGGAGGUCGUGUUAGAAGAAAAUCUGGUAUUCCUACAGCUACGGGUACUAGUAGAGAAACAAGUCCUAGUCGAAGUCCAUAUGCUGG